UAUUUCUCCUGAAAACAAUGAAGAACCGUCACAUACAGGUUUCUCCCUGGUUUUGGUUGGUUGUGUGGUGGUCGUCCUAUUGGUUGUUGUUUUGUUGCUGCUCAACAAAAAAAAGAUGAAGGACUCUUGUGGUUUAAAGACAAAAGGAAACUCGGACCACAGCAACAUUGAGUGUGUCGCCCAUGAGAACUGUCCUCCACCCUCUACAUGUGAAGACUCCACCUACAUGAGCCUCAAUCCAGCCAGCAGGGACCGUGACCAGACCUACUCCACACUCACCUAUACAUGAUACUGUCUGGAUUUAUACCUGGAUUCUGUCGAUGUGCAGGUUAAUGUUGUGAUCUCAGGCAUAACACGACUUGAAACAUUUAUUUUUAAGAUACUGCAAGCAGGAAAUGUUUGACAUGUUUAUUUAACUUGAUUAUUAAAUAGUUACAGCACUGAUACAGAGAGCUGCAGCAUUAUAGUUUAUAUUUCCUUAUACAGGAAGUAUGAAUUCAAAGAAUUCAGACAAACAAAAUAUAGGGUUCUAUAGGAACAACAAGGAUGUAAAAAUUACAAGAAAAAGCAAAUGCUUAAGGAUAUAAAUAAAUGACAAAUAGGAAAAAGUGAAAAGAAGCCAUCAGGUGAAAACAGGACAUAAGAGAAACUUGUUUGUUCAGACAAGAAGGUGAACAUCAUCUCAGUCUUAAUACAGUGUUAUGUGCUUUUUAUUGAUUACUGUUUCAUUGUAUAAGUCAGAUAUUUUCUAAUGUAUAUAAUUUCUUAGAUUACUCUUUCGCACAGGAGCAACCCUGUCUUUUAAAUAAACACACUUUG